UACGUAGGGGGCAAGCGUUGUCCGGAUUUAUUGGGGCGUAAAGAGCGUGUAGGCGGUCAGGUAGGUCCGUUGUGAAAACUCGAGGCUCAACCUCGAGACGCCGAUGGAAACCAUCUGACUAGAGUCCGGAAGAGGAGAGUGGAAUUCCUGGUGUAGCGGUGAAAUGCGCAGAUAUCAGGAAGAACACCCGUGGCGAAGGCGGCUCUCUGGGACGGUACUGACGCUGAGACGCGAAAGCGUGGGGAGCAAACAGG
rnacentral:rRNA from 1 species